UACAGAGGGGGCGAGCGUUGUCCGGAUUUAUUGGGCGUAAAGAGCGUGUAGGCGGCCAGGUAGGUCCGUUGUGAAAACUCGAGGCUCAACCUCGAGACGUCGAUGGAAACCAUCUGGCUAGAGUCCGGAAGAGGAGAGUGGAAUUCCUGGUGUAGCGGUGAAAUGCGCAGAUAUCAGGAAGAACACCUAUGGCGAAGGCAGCUCUCUGGGACGGUACUGACGCUGAGACGCGAAAGCGUGGGGAGCGAACAGG
rnacentral:rRNA from 1 species